rnacentral:snRNA from 1 species
UUGUUUCAGUAACACAUAAACAAAAAUUAUAACAAUACAGAGAAGAUUGGCAUGGCCCCUAUGAGAAUGACACACAAAUUCUUGAAACGUUCCAUAUUUUU